GAGUUUGAUCCUGGCUCAGAUUGAACGCUGGCGGCAGGCCUAACACAUGCAAGUCGAGCGGAUGACGGGAGCUUGCUCCUUGAUUCAGCGGCGGACGGGUGAGUAAUGCCUAGGAAUCUGCCUGGUAGUGGGGGACAACGUUUCGAAAGGAACGCUAAUACCGCAUACGUCCUACGGGAGAAAGCAGGGGACCUUCGGGCCUUGCGCUAUCAGAUGAGCCUAGGUCGGAUUAGCUAGUUGGUGGGGUAAUGGCUCACCAAGGCGACGAUCCGUAACUGGUCUGAGAGGAUGAUCAGUCACACUGGAACUGAGACACGGUCCAGACUCCUACGGGAGGCAGCAGUGGGGAAUAUUGGACAAUGGGCGAAAGCCUGAUCCAGCCAUGCCGCGUGUGUGAGGAAGGUCUUCGGAUUGUAAAGCACUUUAAGUUGGGAGGAAGGGCAGGUAAGUUAAUACCUUGCUGUUUUGACGUUACCGACAGAAUAAGCACCGG
rnacentral:rRNA from 1 species